UAUUGUGAACAUAACAUUUUCAACUCAUAAAUUCAAUAUAAUAAAUUUCGCUAAAUAUAUCAGUAUGUAUAACAACAAGUCUCUCGUGUUUUUCAUCAUCUUCAAUCACUCAACGAUUCGUGUAUUACUCUGCACCCCUCGAAAAGGCGGCAAAGUGCAGCGCGAAGUACAUCUCGCAAGGCGAAAGCAGGCGAAAGGCACGUAGGGUGAGAGUUGAGGUACAUAUACUUAACUAGAAGCAUAAUUACAAGCAUGACGGAAGUGAUAAGUGUGAGAGUAAAUUGCGUCUCGAACAGUGACACUGCGACACAGAACGACUCGAGUCUCGUCGCGAUGAUACCGUCAAGGUCGCCGCCACCGCAAGUAAACAACGCGAGUCAGGUUAUGGUUGUAGAGCGCUGAAUUUCAGAUACGCUUCCACAUUUUGUACAAAUUUGGGCGGUUCAUCACACCUGGAGACCGGAAACGACUCACGUAGUACGUCACGUAACGGCGUGCCGUUAUUGCAGCUAUCUUCUCUCGCUCCUUUUCGCCAGGCUGCAGGCACGAGACGAAUCGACUCCGCAUUGAACGAUGUUUGAUACGUUUAAUUAGAAAGUAUACGGAAAGCGCAGUUCGGAGCAACAGGUAUAUAGCAUCGCCAAGGCGAUUGUGACCUUAAAAUUAGCAGCGUCAAUUAAUUUAUCUAUUCCUCUUAAAAGACAGGCAACAGCAGAACAGCACAAGACUGAGAUAAGGAGGAAACUCAGAAAGACGUCAGCUGAAAAUGGAGCAAUUCAUGAAACAGAGAGGAGGAGAAGGCCCGGAGAAGCAUCAGGCGAUAGCGGAGCAACCCAU